rnacentral:rRNA from 1 species
AGCGAACGCUGGCGGCAGGCUUAACACAUGCAAGUCGAGCGGGCCUUUCGGGGUCAGCGGCGGACGGGUGAGUAACGCGUGGGAACGUGCCCUCUGGUUCGGAAUAACUCAGGGAAACUUGAGCUAAUACCGGAUACGCCCUUUUGGGGAAAGGCUUGCUGGCGGAGGAUCGGCCCGCGUCUGAUUAGCUAGUUGGUGAGGUAACGGCUCACCAAGGCGACGAUCAGUAGCUGGUCUGAGAGGAUGAUCAGCCACACUGGGACUGAGACACGGCCCAGACUCCUACGGGAGGCAGCAGUGGGGAAUAUUGGACAAUGGGCGCAAGCCUGAUCCAGCCAUGCCGCGUGAGUGAUGAAGGCCUUAGGGUUGUAAAGCUCUUUUAUCCGGGACGAUAAUGACGGUACCGGAGGAAUAAGCCCCGGCUAACUUCGUG